AGACGGAGGAGGAGGGAAGCUCCGAGCUGGACAGAGAGAUGAAGAGGGACUCUGGCAUGCAAGAGUCUCCUAUGGAAGAAGCCCCAGUGCCUGUGGAGGCUAUAGUGGAGGAACAUGUGGCUCUACCAGACAGAGAACAGGAGACCGACUAGAGAGGUCACUGCUGAGGGGCUGUUGAGAUAAGCUUUCAGUGUGGUGUCCUCGUUCCUCCUUAGGUUUGGCAAGGUCACCUUCUACUCUCUGCUGCCCCUGGAGGCAGACUGCAGUACUGUAGCUCACAUGCUCUCCAAACCGCUUGAGCUGGUAUCUGCUAGGGAGCUGGAAGUACAUCAGGCUGAACCAUACAGCCCCAUCACCAUCAUCCCUGGACCACUCAGCACCCGUGCACGCCUGAGGAAUACAGAGGAUGUCCACACACACUCACACACACACACACACACACACACACACACACACACACACACACACACACACACACACACACACACACACACACACACACACACAGCGGAUGUGUGCGGCCGUACUUUUAAAACUAAUAAUGUUCAUUCAUGUCCCAAAUUUCAUUCCUGUGAGAUCAUCACCUCAAACUGUUUUGUAGCACACGUGAUGACCUCUUGAGUUUUGUAACAUUUUUUGUAAAACAUUUAUAAGUGAAG
rnacentral:lncRNA from 1 species